UUCUCUGUGUAGCCCUAAGGUUGUUGUUGCUUUGAUGUCAAUCCUCAGCGCUGCAUGAAAUAUACCCUAAUUUGACUUGGCUAUCCAGCACAUGCAUUCUGUUUUCUUUCUAGGUCAAACCUUCCUUCGCUGACCUAUGCACUAUUUCCAGUUUCAUUUUUUUAUUUGGAUGAAAUCAAUGUGGGAACUCAGGAAGGGGCAAAGGCAGAAACCAUGGAAGAAAGCUGCUUCCUGGUUUGUUCUCCAUGGCUUGUUCUUCUUGCUUUCACAUACCACCCAGGACUAUCUGACCAGAACUGCUUGAGUCUACUUAAGUCACUUCCCAAUCGGUAGUCCCGACCUUGGCUCCUAGCCACCCGCUGCGUCCUGCUGGCCCACCUCUUCCACCUGGGCAGCGGAAGAGUAGCCAAGCAGAAGAGACCCUGCAGCCUACCUUGCUCUGGCUUCCGGUCGCCCUUGGAGAGCGGCAACUCAUUGGCAGCUUCGCCUAGGUCAGAACCCUACAGAUUGCCCACGGAUAGCACCCAGUAUGAAGAACAGGGCUACUGCUUCCAGGGGAAUGGGCUCUCCCACAUCAAUCAUUAAUCAAGAAAAUCUCAAGAACUCAAGAAGAUGGACUCCAGAAAACCAAAUAACCCUACUAAAAAAUGGGGUACAGGGCUAAACGAAGAAUUCUCAACUAAGGAAUAACGAAUGGCUGAGAAGCACCUGAAAAAGUGUUCAACAUCUUUAGUCAUCAGGG
rnacentral:lncRNA from 1 species